rnacentral:lncRNA from 13 species
AUGGAUAAGCCUCGCCCUGGGAAAACCACAUUCAUGAUUAUGGUAUCUCCCCUACCAGAUGGAGUCUCAUUUUGUUGUCCAGGCUGGAGUGCGCGAUCUCGGCUCACUGCAACCUUCACCUCCCAGAUUCAAGUGAUUCUUGUGCCUCAGCCACCCACAUAGUUGAAAUUAUACACAUGUGCCACUACACCCAGGUAAUUUUUAUAUUUUUAGUAGAGAUAGGGUUUCACCACGUCGGUCAUGCUGGUUUCUGACUCCUGGCUUCAAGCAAUCCACCCACCUCAGCCUCCCAAAGUGUUGGUAUUUACAGGUAUAUGCCACAAUGCCCGGCUGAGGUUUUUUUUUUAAAUGGAGUUUUGCUCUUGUUACCCAGGCUGGAGUGCAAUGGUGCAAUCUGAGCUCACUGCAACCUCUGCCUCCCAGGUUCAAGCAAUUCUUCUGCCUCAGCCUCCCGAGUAGCUGGAAUUACACGUAUUCACCAUCACGCCCAGCUAAUUUUGUAUUUUUAGUAGAGGCAGGGUUUCUCUCCAUGUUGGUCAGGCUGGUCUCAAACUCCCGACCUCAGGUGAUCUGCCCGCCUCAGCCUCCAAAAGUGUUGG